AAAUUGAAGAGUUUGAUCAUGGCUCAGAUUGAACGCUGGCGGCAGGCCUAACACAUGCAAGUCGAACGGUAACAGGAAGCAGCUUGCUGUUUCGCUGACGAGUGGCGGACGGGUGAGUAAUGUCUGGGAAACUGCCUGAUGGAGGGGGAUAACUACUGGAAACGGUGGCUAAUACCGCAUAACGUCGCAAGACCAAAGAGGGGGACCUUCGGGCCUCUUGCCAUCAGAUGUGCCCAGAUGG
rnacentral:rRNA from 1 species